AUCGACACUUUGAACGCACAUUGCAGGCCUGUGCUUGUAACAGGCCUACCCUUGUGUCAGGGUCGGUUGAACACCAUCCAUCAGAGUGGCUCGCGCCGCUCUGCAUUGUCCGUGCGGAGAGCUUCGUCUCCCCGACGGACUAAGGUGUGCCCGGUCGGCUCGACUUGCGCCUCACAACUCUUGGGACUCAACUCCCGGGUUGUCGGACGGUCGGUUGGCAAAAUGUGGGUACAGACAUGGGAGGCGCACACUCGCCUGCGUCGUCUCCGUUUUUUUGUCACUUUUUAAAUCUUUCGACCUGACAUCAAGGGAGGC
rnacentral:misc_RNA from 1 species